GACGAACGCUGGCGGCGUGCUUAACACAUGCAAGUCGAACGGAAAGGCCUGCUUUCCCUUGUGGAUUGCGGGUACUCGAGUGGCGAACGGGUGAGUAACACGUGAGUGAUCUGCCCCCAACUUGGGUAUAAGCCUGGGAAACUGGGUCUAAUUCCCGAUAGGACUGCAGGGUGGUGCCUGUGGUGGAAAACGAUUUUCUAGUGGUUGGGGAUGAGCUCGCGGCCUAUCAGCUUGUUGGUGGGGUAAUGGCCUACCAAGGCGGCGACGGGUAGCCGGCCUGAGAGGGUGGACGGCCACAUUGGGACUGAGAUACGGCCCAGACUCCUACGGGAGGCAGCAGUGGGGAAUAGUGCACGAUGGGCGGAAGCCUGAUGCAGCGACGCCGCGUGGGGGAUGACGGCCUUCGGGUGGUAAACUCCUUUCGACCGCGAGGAAGCCACCUGGUUGGAAGGGUGGUGACGGUAGUGGUAGAAGAAGCACCGGCUAACUACGUG
rnacentral:rRNA from 1 species